GUGCUCGCUUCAGGCAGUACAUAUACUAAAAAUGGAACUAUACAGAGAAGAGUAACAUGGCUUCUGUGCAAGGGUGACAUACAAAUUCAUGAAGCAUUCCAAAUUAAA